UACAUAGGGGGCGAGCGUUAUCCGGAAUGAUUGGGCGUAAAGCGUCUGUAGGUGGUCCAAAAAGUCUACUGUCAAAUACGAUGGCUCAACCAACGGCAGGCAGUGGAGUACUGUUGGACUAGAGUUCGGUAGAGGUAGAGGGAAUCCCUAGCGUAACAGUGAAAUGUGUAGAUUUUAGGGAGAACACCAGCGGCGAAGGCGCUCUACUGGGCCGAUACUGACACUGAGAGACGAAAGCUAAGGGAGCGAAAGGG
rnacentral:rRNA from 1 species